GGUAUGGGCAGAUUUGCAGUCCUUCUUAUAUUCAGCAGAUGGGUGUUCUCCUCCCUUUGAAGGACAUUUAAACAUGGCUAUUACCAUAACCACUUGCAGGGAUAGUCUUCCUUACAGCCCUUCUCCCAUCCAGAGUCACGGUAAGUCUGGGGGGCCUGUGUCUCUGUAAACGACUACAACUCCCACAAGUCUGUGUGAGGAAGAUAUGAUGGUCCAGGAACAUGGCAGCUCCUCCAUAUAUUCUGGGGGUCGUGGUCCACCUGGCUUGAGGAGAAUUAAAUGAAUAUCACGAGAUGAACUACAACUCC